GAUUGGGGGGGAUUACUAUUUCACUUUCCAUCUCUUUUUGUCUUUCCACUAUCCUCAAGCGGUAAUGAUAGACAUUUUAGUGAAUUCAACAUCGACUCUGUCUGAACAGCUUCCCAGGCAACCACCACAGCAGGAAUGUUGUGAUACAAAAUCAGUUUUCCCAAGGCAAAGAAGAGGGGAUAUGAUGUGAAGCCAGACACAGCAUACAGCUACGUAGAAAGGCUCCUGGAUCUCCUCUCCAACGAGAUCACCCUUGAUCCAGAGCCGUAUGUGGGAAAGCUGUGCAAGCUGUCCAUCCCAGGACCCCUGUCUGCCCAGUGUGAGAGGCCUGACAAGGAGGUGGCCACAGCUGGAUUUGUCUCCCGCUUUAAUCUUGGGGAAGACUGAACCCAAGUGGGUGACUGAUGCCUGCUUGAUUUAAGCGGAGUACCUGGGUCCCUCUCCUCUCCCCCUCCCCUCCCCAUCAAUCUCUGUAGUUGGUUGCAUUUCCUAAAGCCUAGGUAAUUAACUUUUACGUGCUAUGACAUCACAUUAUGUAGCAUUGUAUUGUUUUUUUCAAGCAUUCGGAUGGGAGAUGAGUGUUACAAAUUGUACGAAUCAAUGGGGUCCUGUACACUGUAUGGUGUCCGGGUGCCAAUAUUUGGUUUAUGUCUCUAAUGUAUUUUUUUCCUGUCAAAUAAUUUAUCACGUUUAUUUCUCAUGAGUAUUUAUGUUGAUCAAUAUUUUGGCUAUGCUGGCCUGUCUGAUCAAUACAUGUAAUGCUGAACAUAUUGUCAUUGAUAAUGCUAAUGCAGAGGCACCAAUAAAUUGUCCAGUACACUUA